CCAACAAUAAUAUUUAGACAAAUAGAUUUAUAAUAAUCAAAUCUAAAUUUAAAAAUAUGGGAUAUUACAUUCUACCCCCCUUAUAAGGAUUCCGUCCUCGGAAUCCUCCGAAGAAACUAAAACGUACACACUUCGUAAUAUCAUAUCGUCAUCCACCUUUGAUUGAUCUUGGCAUACCUUUAACUUUAAUGGAAAAGGAAAAUCAAACUUUCGCGAUUGCAAAAUUCAUUUCCCAAGAAUCGAUCUUUGGGAAUUUUCGAAUAGAACAAGGUGUUUUCAAAAUAGGUCACAUUGGAAUACAAGAGUGACUGGGAGAUCAAUACGAUCAAAUGAACUUAAUGUUGCGUGUCCAUAUUAGACACUACUAAAGGUUGUUAACCUUCUUGUAAUCACAACACACACAAGUGAUGGCGUCCCAUCCAACUCCUAUCACACAGACAGGUAUACCUUGUGUCCCCUAUACAUAGGGUUGUUCAUCCCAAUCAGAUGGAAAGAAUCCAAGAAAUCUCAAGGAGCAUCAAGGAAUGUUAAGGAUUAUCGAGGAAUAUAUUAAGGAAUAUCGAAAAGAUAUCAAGGAAUAUCAAAGAAUGUCAAAGAAUAUCAACGAAUAU
rnacentral:lncRNA from 1 species